GUCUCUGAGAACGACGAAGGAAAGCUUUCUACCCGGCCCUUCAACGCCUCUGAGCUCUUUGCUUUGCGUUCCACGACGGAAAGUGCGUUGUCUUUUGCAGCGCGUCGAUAUCUCGAAUAAAAGGACUCGACCCGGCGGCCAGAAGUGAGUAGCAACGCAUGAGUGUGUGAGCACGAACAAACAGGAAUGUCUGUUACACUCCGUUCCGUGGUGUGGUUCGCUCUGAGUCGCCGUACCUGCAACAGGAUCGGGGAUUCCGGCUCGCUGGCAAAGGCGAGAAAUCAUGAAGGUGACGGGAUCGUCAGGGUGUUCGAGAAGAACCUCGACGACAAGCCCCUCAAGAAUGGGGUUCAACUUGGUGUUGAUGUACUCUUGAUAAGCUGCUGUUGCGCCUGCCAUUUUGGAGGCGAGAAAAGGAGAAACUAAGCGAAGAACGGAAACCAACGCUACUUUGCAGAUCCUCGCAGUCUCCUUGUUCACCUCGUGGGUGUUUAGAAAAGAACCCGUUUGUCCGCGCACAGGCUACUGGCUUCGAAGGCAGCUAUCCACGCAUAUUUGUGGACGAACUCCGCUCUCUGGGGCAUCAAUGUGUAAGAGUCGAAUAUGUGUAGCGAUGCGUGAGCACAUGUGCGGAUGCUUUUCUCGGCUGCUCAGAACGUUGCCACCGGUGGAGAGUGUUUUUCCUGUUUGCAAGAAGCACUCAAGCGGAGAAUGGCGCAGUGCAAAAGAGAUCUGUGGUUCCUUGGACGGGAGAUUUCUCCCUAGGUUUUCGCCCUCUGUCUGUCCUUGUUGUUCCUUGCUUCGUUUCCGUCCUCGUCGCCAAGACUGGAGUUUCCCGAUUCAAAAGGAAACCAGAGCCGUCUAGCCGGCAGAGCAGUCCUGAUGUUUCGCCUGAAAAGGGACGACCUUGUAUUUCUCGGAAGACCGUCACGGAAAAGGGUUUGUGCUUCCUUUUCCUCUGCAUCGCAGCUAACUCAAAAAGCGAGUUAGAUGCAAGUGAGGGGGCGUGGGGCCAGCAACGCGUGCGCAGGCUCUGCGGAGGCGCCGUUUAGAAAACCCAUCUUGUCAAGAAUCUUUCCC
rnacentral:lncRNA from 1 species